CCAAUAGCGUAUAUUAAAGUUGUUGCAGUUAAAAAGCUCGUAGUUGAAUUUCGGGAUCAGUACGCUGGUCGUGCCUUCGGUAUGAACUGGUGUCACUGGUUCCUCCCUUCUGAAGAACUGUCAUGCCAUUCAGUUGGUGUGGCGGGGAAUCAGGACUGUUACUUUGAAAAAAUUAGAGUGUUUAAAGCAGGCUCGCGCUUGAAUACAUUAGCAUGGAAUAAUGAAAUAGGACGUUUGAUCCUAUUUUGUUGGUUUCUAGGAUCGACGUAAUGAUUAAUAGGGAUAGUUGGGUGCAUUAGUAUUCAAUUGUCAGAGGUGAAAUUCUUGGAUUUAUUGAAGACUAACUACUGCGAAAGCAUUUGCCAAGGAUGUUUUCAUUAAUCAAGAACGAAAGUUAGGGGAUCGAAGACGAUCAGAUACCGUCGUAGUCUUAACCAUAAACUAUGCCGACUAGGGAUCGGAUGAUGUUAAUUUUUUAAUGACUCAUUCGGCGCCUUACG
rnacentral:rRNA from 1 species